rnacentral:snRNA from 1 species
UGUAUAUGGUGUAAGACACUGA